rnacentral:rRNA from 1 species
UACGUAGGUCCCGAGCGUUGUCCGGAUUUAGUGGGCGUAAAGCGAGCGCAGGUGGUUUAUUAAGUCUGGUGUAAAAGGCAGUGGCUCAACCAUUGUAUGCAUUGGAAACUGGUAGACUUGAGUGCAGGAGAGGAGAGUGGAAUUCCAUGUGUAGCGGUGAAAUGCGUAGAUAUAUGGAGGAACACCGGUGGCGAAGGCGGCUUGCUGGACGAAAACUGACGUUGAGGCUCGAAAGCGUGGGGAGCAAACAGG